GAUGAAGAACGUAGCGAAAUGCGAUAAGUAAUGUGAAUUGCAGAAUUCAGUGAAUCAUCGAAUCUUUGAACGCACAUUGCGCCCGCCAGCAUUCUGGCGGGCAUGCCUGUUCGAGCGUCAUUUCAACCCUCGAGCCCCCCCGGGGGCCUCGGUGUUGGGGGACGGCACACCAGCCGCCCCCGAAAUGCAGUGGCGACCCCGCCGCAGCCUCCCCUGCGUAGUAGCACUCACCUCGCACCGGAGCGCGGAGGCGGUCACGCCGUAAAACGCCCAACUUUCUUAGAGUUGACCUCGGAUCAGGUAGGAAUACCCGCUGAACUUAAGCAUAUCAAUAAGCGGAGGA
rnacentral:misc_RNA from 1 species